UUGUGGCUGUGAUGAUUGUUCAACCAGCUUAAUUAGCCAGUUCUGCUUCAGAAAAUUCUUGAUCGAGAUAGCUGUCCAAAACACCGAGCCCUUA
rnacentral:snoRNA from 1 species